AUACUGAAUCUUGACGGGGAAUUAGUGCGAAAUUCACUUGCUGUUCCUGCAACCGUAUAGUCGGAGUGCCGUCCAGUAUAGUCCGCUGUUGAGCGAUGGCCAGGAAAAGCCUAGUUCUGCAAUUUAAUU
rnacentral:ncRNA from 10 species